rnacentral:snoRNA from 1 species
GUCCAGCUCUCUGUGGACAGAAGGACCACAGUGAUUCUGUGAUAUAUGCCUGGGACUGUCCUUCCUCAGGAACCUUCACAGCCGGUCACCAAGACAUGA